rnacentral:rRNA from 1 species
GACGAACGCUGGCGGCGUGCUUAACACAUGCAAGUCGAACGAAGAGCGAUGGAAGCUUGCUUCUAUCAAUCUUAGUGGCGAACGGGUGAGUAACGCGUAAUCAACCUGCCCUUCAGAGGGGGACAACAGUUGGAAACGACUGCUAAUACCGCAUACGAUCUAAUCUCGGCAUCGAGGAUAGAUGAAAGGUGGCCUCUACAUGUAAGCUAUCACUGAAGGAGGGGAUUGCGUCUGAUUAGCUAGUUGGAGGGGUAACGGCCCACCAAGGCGAUGAUCAGUGGCCGGUCUGAGAGGAUGAACGGCCACAUUGGGACUGAGACACGGCCCAGACUCCUACGGGAGGCAGCAGUGGGGAAUCUUCCGCAAUGGACGAAAGUCUGACGGAGCAACGCCGCGUGAGUGAUGACGGCCUUCGGGUUGUAAAGCUCUGUUAAUCGGGACGAAAAGGCCUUUCUG